UACGGAGGGGGCUAGCGUUGUUCGGAAUUACUGGGCGUAAAGCGCACGUAGGCGGCGCUGAAAGUCAGGUGUGAAAUCCCGGGGCUUAACUCCGGAACCGCACUUGAAACUACAGUGCUAGAAUCCAACAGAGGAUGGUAGAAUUCCUAGUGUAGAGGUGAAAUUCGUAGAUAUUAGGAGGAAUACCGGUGGCGAAGGCGGCCAUCUGGGUUGGUAUUGACGCUAAGGUGCGAAAGCGUGGGGAGCAAACAGG
rnacentral:rRNA from 1 species